UUCUAGGUUUUCACUUUGUCAGACAUUUUGAGUUUCGAUCACAAACACUCCACGUUCACAUCACCCAUGCAUGCUGCCCACCCGUAUCCACAAGGCUGCUGUGUCUACUCUGCUCCUGUUUUCCAAAGCACCCCUUCCAUCAGGAAAUGUGCCUUCCAUUCCUAGGGAUGUCAUGAUUCCCAGCUUUCAUAUCUCCUCACAGAGGAGGUUCCCAAAUUACUCUGGGUUCUCAGUCCAGAAGUUGAGCCUUUAAAACCCUUUUCUGUCAUAUGGUCAGUCCGUUGCAGGGUGCAGCCCCUCAGCAGCCAAGAUUCCCUGUGGAUAGCUCUUCAAUCUGAUUGCCUGGGCUUUCUCCAUCAUGAAACCUUUCAUCUCCUUGGUCCUUGUCACACACCCUGAACCCCAAAAUAGAAAAGCCACAACAGAAUGAAGUAGAUGAGAAACAAUCUCCUUGUUUAUAAUUCCGUUUAUUUCCUCACAUACCAGCCAAGCUUCUCAGUCAGGCAGACACAAUAGAUGGAAUGGCAAGGGAAGUGAAGAGUGGAGGCUGCAUCCCUUCAGCCGCCAGCUGAUGUUCUGCUUAUUUCGCAUACCGGAACUCCCAGGCGUCCUCAAACCACAAUCACAGUUGUUGGUUCCAGAAACAUCUUCUUUGGAAAAACAUGUGACAUCAGUUUCCUCAGAGUCUUCCGGACAAUCCAGUCACACAGAACUGACAAAACCUUGUCAGGUGAGAAGAUAAGGAUCUUCUUCAAUACAGAAUAUGUCAACAUCUCCUUCUGAAUAGUUCCGUUUAUUUGCUCACAUACCAGCCAAGCUUCUCAGUCAGCAGGCACAAUAGACUGAAUAGGAAGGGAAGUGAAGAGUGAAGUCUGGAUCCGUUUAGCCUCCAGCUGAUGUUCUGCUUAUUUCCUGUACUGGAACUCUCAGAAGUCCUCAAACCACAAUCACAGUUGUUGGUUCCAGAAACAUCUUCUUUGGAAAAACAUGUGACAUCAGUUUCCUCAGAGUCUCCCGGACAAUCCAGUCACGCAGAACUGACAAAACCUUGUCCAGUAAGAAGGUAAGAAUCUUCUUCAAUAGAGAAUACGUCAACGUCUCCGUGAACGAAGAGAUCUGCUGGUUCCAAGGACUUGUCGUGGAUUUCUGUCCUAGAUACUUUCUUCCGUAAUUCAAGAUAAAGAAAAUUACAAUCUCUGCUGUCCAUUCCAUCGCUUUUCCCUUCAGAAUCAUAAUCAGAGAAUCCUUGCAGAACGUCGUGAGUGUGCUCUCAGCUGCAAUCACCAGAAGGACUCUUCACACUCGGUGAGUCCUCCUCAUUUUAUAGAAGCCAAAGCAGUGACGUAUGCUCACCCCUCCCGCCCCCAGGAGAGAGGUUGCUGGCCAAUGAGCUUGAGCUUCGUCAUCCUUCCAAGCCCCACCCAGUUCCUUUGCUUCCCUUUCACCAACUUUGACUGAAAUGAAUAGGUUACAACCUUUAGCUUUCUGCCCCUUGGAAAACGGAAGCAUUUAGACAUCCGUAUUAAUAUUUGGAUCUAGAGUGUUCGUGUUUUAGCACUUCCUUUUUUGAAAGGAGAAGCAGACGUGUUGUGUUUUUAGGAACACUUCCAAGAAGUUUCUCCUCCUCUAUGAUGAAACCAACACAAGAAAGCCAAAAGGGCGUUUAACCCCUUGAAGCACUGAGAGUUUCCCUGCUGAUAUUCUUAGACUGUUCUUUUUCUAAAACGAGAAAGAGCGACUCUUAAAUAGGUGGCUCACCAGGAGAAAGGCAUAGCAGAACCUGGACUGAGACCUACGGGAGACAGAUGCUGCCAUGGGGUUGUAGCCCCACAACUUGCCAGUCUGUAUGCUUCCCUAGAGGUUUGAGCAGCGGAGUACUAAAGAAGCAAGCCACACCCCCACUCCACCUCCUGUGAGGGGGACAAGGAAACUUUUCCCAUUUCAACUGGUGGCUCGUCUGGGAUCUCGGAAGAUCAUCCUGGCCUGCUAAGACCCAUCCUGUGCUUAUAAAAACCCCAAGACCCUAGCAGUCAGACACACAGGAGGCUUGACGUCGAGAGGAGCACAUCAGCGGAGGAACACACAGGCGGCUGGACAUGAAGAGGAACAUGACAACAGGCACCAGCACACCAGCAGGGCACCGACUUAUAGAACGAUGUGGAUUUUGCCUGGGGCAGUCAGAGGAGAGCCAGGGCUGCUGAACGGCCCCAAUCCAGGGAGAAACCAAUCUCCUUUCUGGCUCCCCCAUCUGCUGAGAGCUACUUCCACUCAAUAAAACCUUGCACUCAUUCUCCACGUCCACGUGUGACCUGAUUCUUCUGGAAUGCCAAGGCAAGAACCCUAGGAUACAGAAAGCCCUCUGUCCUUGUGAUAAGGAAUGUGUCUAAUUGAGCUAGUUACCACAAGUUGCCUAUAAAUGGCAAAACUAAAAGACCACACGACCACUGGGGCUUCAGGAACUGUAAACAUCCACCCCUACACACUGCCAGUAUGAGAAAAAUUUGCUGAUAUGUUUUCUGCUGACCUGAUGACAAUGUUCCUAUGGUCACACUAACCACUGCUGGGUAAUUUUCAUCAUGACUCUCGUUUUCAUCUGCUGAAACCAGCCUCCCCAAGAAAGACAACUAUUUUCAAACUGAGGAAAUAAAGUGUUACUAAACCACAGUGUUCUCUCAUGGCUGUUCCUGGAGUUCUUCAAAACACUUGAUAUUAUAAAAUAGAAUUAUUACAGAUCACUGUAUGUUAUGGAUUUAGUCAAAAUGAUAAUUUAAAAUAUGGUUUAAAAUAAAAAACUUUAUUUUCCAAAGAAGAUAGUUUUUUAAACAAGAAUAUCCAAUAAAGACAGUAUGAGGUCAGCUGACUUUAGUGUUGGUGUAUGUGUAUGUGUGUGUGUG
rnacentral:lncRNA from 1 species